GGCUUUGUAGUGUAGUGGUAAUCACUUCAGAUUUUGACGCCGCGCUCAAAUUCUUUCUGAUAACCCAGGUUCGAACCCUGGCAAGGCCU